rnacentral:rRNA from 1 species
UACGUAGUGGGCAAGCGUUGUCCGGAUUUAUUGGGCGUAAAGAGCGUGUAGGCGGUCAGGUAGGUCGGUUGUGAAAACUGGAGGCUCAACCUUCAGAGGUCGACCGAAACCCCCUGGCUAGAGUCCGGGAGAGGAGAGUGGAAUUCCUGGUGUAGCGGUGAAAUGCGCAGAUAUCAGGAAGAACACCCGUGGCGAAAGCGGCUCUCUGGAACGGUACUGACGCUGAGACGCGAAAGCGUGGGGAGCGAACAGG